GCGGGAGUGGUGAAACUGGCAGACACGCAGGAUUUAGGUUCCUGUGCCUUCGGGCGUGUGGGUUCAAGUCCCACCUUCCGCA
rnacentral:tRNA from 3 species